rnacentral:rRNA from 1 species
AGGAAAAGAAACCAACCGGGAUUGCCUCAGUAACGGCGAGUGAAGCGGCAAGAGCUCAAAUUUGAAAGCUGGCUCCUUCGGGGUCCGCAUUGUAAUUUGCAGAGGAUGCUUCGGGUGCGGCCCCUGUCUAAGUGCCCUGGAACGGGCCGUCAGAGAGGGUGAGAAUCCCGUCUGGGAUGGGGUGUCCGCGCCCGUGUGAAGCUCCUUCGACGAGUCGAGUUGUUUGGGAAUGCAGCUCUAAAUGGGUGGUAAAUUUCAUCUAAAGCUAAAUACUGGCCGGAGACCGAUAGCGCACAAGUAGAGUGAUCGAAAGAUGAAAAGCACUUUGAAAAGAGAGUUAAAAAGCACGUGAAAUUGUUGAAAGGGAAGCGCUUGCGACCAGACUCGCCUCCAGGGUUCAGCCGGCAUUCGUGCCGGUGUACUUCCCUGGGGGCGGGCCAGCGUCGGUUUGGGCGGCCGGUCAAAGGCUCCCGGAAUGUAGUGCCCUCCGGGGCACCUUAUAGCCGGGAGUGCAAUGCGGCCAGCCUGGACCGAGGAACGCGCUUCGGCACGGACGCUGGCAUAAUGGUCGUAAACGACCCGUCUUGA